GGUCUGGCUGCAGCCACUGUGGAGCUCCACAGUAACCGGAUACACGUGACCUCCACACUAACCGGAAACACGUGACCUCCACAGUAACCGGAAACACGUGACCUCCACAGUAGCCGUAAACACGCAUGGAUACCGUGGAAGUCUUGCAAGUUGAUCGCAAAGGUUGGGACAGAGUCUUUCUUAAAUAAAUUUGCCGUUAGUGAUUUCAUAAUUCUAGGAAUCGUCUAGUUUUCUUACAGUGAUCAUGUUGCCACUUUUUUUGUGUUACAACAACAUUCCUUCUUGUUUUAAUGUUUUUUCAUCGUGCUCCAUGGCAGAGAAACACACAGAUCAAUAUCUCAUUGUCGGCACUGGGUCAAGCUGUCGUAGCCCCACAGGUGUGCAAUAAACCCAGAGAAAUCACAGAAACGGUGUUGAACCCAGCACCUUCAAUGUCUGGUGACACUGAACCUCAGGAAAGAGUUGACAACAAGAAAGCCAAUCGAAGGUCAACAGAUGCAACUUUUCCUGACCUGUGUGGACCACCGUGCGAAGCUCUGACAAAGCCUGAGAACAUUUUGGCCAGCCGUUCAUCAUGGUGUUUUGUACCGCACCCUGGCCAACAACAGCUUCUCAACUAUGUUCUGGACAUCAGCAGACCCAAAGAUGAGCUGAUUGUUGAAACGUCUUCUGGAUGCCUCACGCGGGCAGAUUUUUGGACACUGGGUUUAAACAAACAAAUGGAAUUGACUAUUGGAAAUGGCUGUUUUGAGCUUAUCACUAAAAUUGUUCAGUCAAAGGGGAUAAGCAUUUACAUAGAAAAUCUGUAUGUCACCCGGACUUGGCUUGCACCCUAUGGCUGUGAUCCAUUGCAGUCCUUUCCUACUGAUGCUCAGAGGAUGGACAUCAUAGUUCUCCCUCUCUGGACACCUGGUCAUUUCCAGUUGUGUGAUCUUGCAGUGAAGAUCAUUCCCGGGCAGUGGUCAGAAAAAAAGAGCUUUGACUUGAAGGGUUUUCCAAGCCAAGACUAUGGAGUUGACUGUGGGAUCUUCAUGCUGAUGUCUGCUCUGUACGUGGCACUGGAUGCUUCAUUUGACUAUACUAUAUCAGACAUGCCCUACUUGCGUAAAUGGUGGUGCUUGCUGUUGAUGGAGAACUUUGAUCUCAGGAGCUCUGGCAAGCUAUUUGCACACUGGAGAGAGGAAGCCAAAGCUGUGCUUGAAGGACAACACGUGCCCAUUUUCAGACUGAAAAAGCGCAAGUUCCAGGAAGUCAGUCAGGUCAGUAUUCACUUUAAACAGUAGUGUAAUUACAUGGUUAGUGACAUUUG